rnacentral:RNase_P_RNA from 1 species
GGACAAUCGCGCGGUAUUGCGCCGUAAGGUAUUAUCGUGAGGAAAGUCCGGGCUUCACAGGGCAGGAUAACGGAUAACGUCCGCCGAAGGUGACUUCCGGGAAAGUGCAACAGAAAUAAACCGCCGCGCAAGCGGUAAGGAUGGAAAGGCGAGGUAAGAGCUCACCGGCAUAUUGGUAACAAUAUUGCAAAUGUAAACCCUAUCCGAAGCAAAACCCCGAAACAUAAUGUCUGCCCGGCAGCGCUUUGCGAUGUUUGGGGUUGCACAGAGUUUUGCGGCAACGCAAAAACAAGAUAGAUGAUUGUCGAUCACAGAACCCGGCUUACAGUUCCGGUCC